CAUGGUACUCUGAAUGCUAGGUUGAGUUAUAACAUAGCCCUCCCACACAGGCAAGGCAGGAAGAAGAGGAAGAACAGAGAAUUUCCUAAAAAUCAAAGAAAUCCAAAUGCAGAGCCAAACAACAGCUGGAUACAAUAGAUGACAACCACUAACUUUUGAGAAAACAGCAGAACUUUCCAGCUUCCUGCUCUGAAGAAGCAAAGCAUUGAGCAGUGGUUUAAUUCGAAUCAGCUUGCCGUGCUGAGAAGCUGAAGACAAAAUCUGCAGGGAGAGUGACCUCAAUGUCACUUUAUAGGAUGUGGAAGCUGAACCCUGAAGAUUAAGUGACUUUUUGGAAGAGAACCAGUAAGACUGGAGAAAGAGUCUGUGUUUGGGGGAACUGGUAGAGUCUGGCUAAGAAGAAUUUCUGUGACAUCCUCCAAAGUGGAGACGACAGAGCGUGGAAUUAGGGCAGUUGGUGCCGAUUUCUGGGCAGUCUGUAAAGCGGGGAGCCAAGUGCCCCAAAGUGUUAAUAAAUUCCAGGAUAAGCUUGAAACCAAAGCAGCACUGUCCGGGGCUUCACCAGCAUUCCAAGAAACUGUCCAAGUGAAUUCUUCCCUGGUGAUGUGGAAGGACAUCCUGUCUUCAGGGGUACAACACAGUGCAGGAAUCCCUCCUGAAACUAUAAUGGCCAAGUUCAUUAGUGUUGGCUCUGAAUACACAGGGAGUGACAAGAAAUACCAGCAUAACCUUGAACCUGGAAUUUUACGUUCCUUAAGGGGCUCUUAUUCAUCAGAUGUCAGCAGAGAGAGGAAAUGUGUUCCUGGGCUCAGGACUCGGGGAGGAAGCAUUAAGGAAGGAAACAAUGGCCUCAAAGGAGAGUUCUGUGGGACAACUUCAUGAAGGUGUUCUUGGUAGUGAAGUAGACAUAGGUCCAGUGGCUACCUGGACUCACAAAAGACUUCUUCAACAUUUUCCUCUCUAAGUUAUUUAGUCUAAGAUUCUAACAAAAUUUGUAUAUGGAUUGAUCAAAGGAGAUCUUAUUCAGAAAACAAUUUGUAAAUGAGAUCAAUGUAAGUCAGUCUGGCUGGAGCAGGUGGAGGAAGGCAUUUCUGGGGUUGCCUUCGUGUGUACAGUAUGAAUGGCACUGAUUUACUUGGUUAUUACUGCUUUUGUUUACGUAUCUAUGCAUUGCACAUCAGUUCUAAUCUGGUACAUGCCUAUUCAGUAGACUGCUAUUUAUACAAAAAUGGGGCCUUCAAAAUGAACCUACAAUACAUCAGCAGCAGAAAAUGGAUAAAGCAAUCUGCAAUAAACAGGAAACAACUAGAGUUGAUUUCAUGAACAUCAAAUGAUUUUCCUUGAAAGGAAUCAAAACCAGGAAGUCACCUGGGUGACAUCAAGCUGUUAACAGUAGAAAGCCCGGAGUGCCCGGGGCCUGUGUUGCAGUGUAGCAGGGUAAGCCUCUGCCUGUGAUACCUGCAUCCCAUAUGAGUGUUGAUUUCAGUUUCAGUUUCUCCACUUCCCAUCAAGCUCUCUGCUAAUGUGCCUGGGAAAGCAGCAGAAGAUGGCCCAAGUGCUCUGGACCCUGCUGCACACAUGGGAGACUGGGAGGGAGUUUCAGGCUCCUGGCUUCAGCCUGGCUCAGCUCCUGCUGUUGCAGCCAUUUGGAGAGGGAGCCAGCAGAUGAAAGCCCUCUCUCUCUCUCUCUAUUUCAAAUAAAUAAAAUAUUUUUUUAAAAAAUGACCAGAGAAUCACCACAAAGCAGCAGCACAACACCAACCUAAAGAGUACAAAUUAUUGGUUUUUUCUAAAGAGACCUGCAUACAAAACAUUCACUACUCAGAACAGUCAUGAAUUUAGAUAUUUACAAGUGAAGGUGUGGUAGGACACCAUGAGGAUAAGGAAUAGUGUCCUUCCUUAGAGAUUUUUGUAGCGUGUGAUUUUUCAGGAUGUUCAAAUGGUUGGUUGAUAUUUUCCAUUUUCUCUCUUUUUUUUUUUAGUUGGAAAUCUGUUAUGUGGUAGACGCAGCUCAAAACUGUAAUCAAGAAGACCUUCUUUGUAAACUCAGUCUAACUGGUAUUGAAUAUGCACAUGGACUUCCUGGUUAAACAUUUCAACUGUCUUUAAGAAAUGAGCACAGAGACCAUCAAAUGCCAGGGACAGAAUUAAUUAUUGGUCUGUUAGCAUGAGAGCAGGAAAACAUGGGAACAUAUUGCAUGUGUAAUUAGAGCUUUGAGACAACUGGGUUUGAAGUGAAGAAAGUGAGGACUGUGCAAAGGGCUUACCGGUUAUUAUUACUGCUCAGUGCUAUGAAUUAUGCUCUUGGUUGCUGUGAUGUGGGAUGCUGUUGGCUUGCCAUUUUAUAUUGCCCAGAAAUAACUGGAAGUCUUUAUUUCUUUUGGAUGAAAAUAGGAGCUGGCUUUAAGAAGUCACAUCAGUGCAUGGAAAAACUAAAUUUUUCUCAUUGUAAUGAUGAUAACAUGUAAAGUACUAUUCAUAUGACUGCAUCUUAGGUUGUAGAUGUUUCUUCGUAUUGUUUCUUGUGCUAGUGCCAUCUAGGCAAUUCUAACUGUGCCAUCGUUCACAUGUGUUCCCAUUUUCCUCAUUUUCCUUGGUUUUAGGAAUUCUAUUCCAGACACCUAAUUGACCAGAUUCUUAAACACAAAGGAGAAAAACAUGUUUGUCAACUCCAAAAAUUAUUGAGGUGUUACAUGUUCUUAAUUUAGUAUUAAGGGCUGGUAUAUUUGAAUACAACUCAUAUGUAAUAAAAUGAAACUUCUAAAUUCAAAGUGAAAGGAUGUGUAUAUCAAGGUCAUUGUGGAGAUAGAAUAACCCGUCCUAAACAGGACAGUCAUGAGUUAAUGUGGAAAUAGAUUGAAAACAGCUGUCAGUAUCUUAAAACACAAUAAAUGAAAGGAUUUUGGAUUUAUUUUAAAUAUAAAAGCAAAUGGUUGUGGAAAAUGCUUCUAUUUUUCAAGACCCGAAGUUAAUGAAUGACAUACUUUCUAUUUCAAAAUUCAGAAUAUGUGAACAGAAUUGUCUUUCUUUUUAAAACUGUGGAAUUCUAAGAAAUUUCAUUAUAAUAAUCACUGAGUGAUGUCCUUUUUAGAAAAUUUCUUUCCAAUUCCCUGGUGUUUCAGCUUUUCCUUUGAAAACGCUAUAAAUUUUGCCUUUUCUUUCUCAUAAACAAGGCAAAUAGUAAAUCCAUAUACUUUAAUAUUAUUGCUUAGCUAUGUCAAAAUAAAAUUGGCACAUUCAAAGCAUUACAAUAAAAGGCAUUUUUCAAAGACCGUUACAUUUUUUGAAUUUGUUAACUGUAAACUAUACUAAAUCAUUCUUUUGAUGUUUCAGAAGAAGUUGACUGAACUUUCUUUAAAAAUUCUGUGUGUCAUUUUUCCCCCUUGCUAUAUUGACUAUUUUCUUGGGAUAUGAAAAUUAGUAAUAUUUGUGACAUUUUCAAUAUGAUUUAAGGGAUCUGGCAUUGUGGCAUGGUGGGGUAAGCCACAGCUUGCAAUGCCAACCUCCCAUAUGGAGUGCCCUCCAAUCUCUGCGAUCGAGUCCUAGCACCUCUGCUUCUGAUCCAGUUCCCUGCUAAUCUGUCUAGGAAGACAGUGGAAGAUGGCCCAAUUGCUUGGGGCUCCUGCCACCUACUUAGGAGGCCCAGAUAGAGUUCUUAGCUCCUGGCUUUGGCCUGGCCCAACCCUAGCCAUUGUGACCAUUUGGAGAUCUCUGUCUCUGUUUCUGGAUCUCUGUCUCUCUCUCUCUGUCACUCUAUCUUUCAAAUAAAUAAAAUCUUUUAAAAAAUACUAUUUAAAUUCUUGUCAAUUUUAUAUAUUUCCUUGGAUUUUCCCUCCAAAUUUCAGAGAAAAAUACUGUUUACAGUUGCUAUUUGCAAAAAAAGAUAAUGGUUUAUACCUAUAUUGUUUUAAAUGCUAUUUAUGUAAAAUAUAUUAAUGACUCACUAAAAGAAAAUAUAGCUAUUACUAAAUUUUUGCAUAUGAAUUGGAUUUUAAAUGAUACUUUAAAUUAGGUGAUUUGGACUCACGACUCCACAUGCUUUUUUCUACUUUAAUCUUCACCAUUAAUGUAUCAAAAGCACGAUGACUUCAGCUUCACAGUCAUAUCAUGAGGGGCUGCGUCUAAACACAGAAGCUGGUUUACACUGAAACUGUUAUGGGGAAUUCCUGGUGAUUUUUCUUUUCUAUCUUGGAUCAGUUUUAUUUUUAUUGACAUGCAGCAUAAUCAGAACACCUGCAAAUGAUAUUGUAUACUUGAGUAGCAGAAUCAGCUCUGCUAUAAUCGACACGUGAACUACAGGCUAAUUGAUCACAGAGGGAACUCUGUGACAUUUAUUUUCAUUAGGAAAUAAACCCAAAUAAAGUAAUUCCCAUCAAUGCACCUGAAGUGUCUUUUUAUUUGCAGCAAAGAUAUCAGCAUGUUCAAUACGAAUUCCUUCACCAGCUAACUAAUUGAGCCAUAAAAACAUUAAAUGUAGCAUUUCUUUAUGGUUUUGUCGAAGUCUUGAGAAUUUGGUGGAGCUGUUGACAGUCUUCCCAGAAAUGUGCAAAAACACACAUAAUUUAAAUGUGUAAAUGUGACAUUAUUAUUAUAAUAAUAAUUUCAGCGGUUUCAGGGAUCUUUUUAAAUUUGUCCAUGAACUCCAGGGGAAGUAUUCUUUUUCCAAUUCUUUGUGGCAAAUUCAUCAUGGAGCAAGGUUAUGUGAUCAGUCAGCAUGUCUUUGAGAAUCUCAAUAAAUAACUGUAAACAAAACAAUAUUUUCUUUGCUUUAUAAUUUUGACUUUAAGCAGUCGGAAAAGCCCAUGAGAGUAUUUCAGACAUGGAAAGCCAAGACACUCUGGCAAAAAAAAAAAAAAAAAAAUUAAA